rnacentral:rRNA from 1 species
GACGAACGCUGGCGGCGUGCUUAACACAUGCAAGUCGAACGCUGAAGCUCAGCUUGCUGGGUGGAUGAGUGGCGAACGGGUGAGUAACACGUGAGUAACCUGCCCUCUUCUUUGGGAUAACGCCCGGAAACGGGUGCUAAUACUGGAUAUUCACUGAUUCUCGCAUGGGGGUUGGUGGAAAGGUUUUUUCUGGUGGGGGAUGGGCUCGCGGCCUAUCAGCUUGUUGGUGGGGUGAUGGCCUACCAAGGCUUUGACGGGUAGCCGGCCUGAGAGGGUGACCGGUCACAUUGGGACUGAGAGACGGCCCAGACGCCUACGGGAGGCAGCAGUGGGGAAUAUUGCACAAUGGGCGAAAGCCUGAUGCAGCGACGCCGCGUGAGGGAUGGAGGCCUUCGGGUUGUAAACCUCUUUCGCUCAUGGUCAAGCCGCAGCUUUGGGUUGUGGUGAGGGUAGUGGGUAAAGAAGCGCCGGCUAACUACGUG